rnacentral:rRNA from 1 species
CCUACGGGGGGCAGCAGUGAGGAAUAUUGGUCAAUGGCCGUAAGCCUGAACCAGCCAAGUCGCGUGAAGGAUGAAGGAUCUAUGGGUUGUAAACUUCUUUUAUAAGGGAAUAAAGGUAUCCACGUGUGGAUAUUUGCAUGUACCUUAUGAAUAAGCAUCGGCUAACUCCGUGCCAGCAGCCGCGGUAAUACGGAGGAUGCGAGCGUUAUCCGGAUUUAUUGGGUUUAAAGGGUGCGUAGGUUGUUUUUUAAGUCAGUGGUGAAAGUUUGUGGCUCAACCAUAAAAUUGCCGUUGAAACUGGCAGACUUGAGUAUAUUUGAGGUAGGCGGAAUGCGUGGUGUAGCGGUGAAAUGCAUAGAUAUCACGAAGAACUCCGAUUGCGAAGGCAGGUUACUAAGCCAUCACUGACAUUGAAGCACGAAAGUGUGGGGAUCAAACAGGAUUAGAUACCCGAGUAGUC